rnacentral:rRNA from 1 species
GUAGGUGGCAAGCGUUGUCCGGAAUUAUUGGGCGUAAAGCGCGCGCAGGCGGUUCUUUAAGUCUGAUGUGAAAGCCCACGGCUCAACCGUGGAGGGUCAUUGGAAACUGGAGAACUUGAGUACAGAAGAGGAAAGCGGAAUUCCACGUGUAGCGGUGAAAUGCGUAGAGAUGUGGAGGAACACCAGUGGCGAAGGCGGCUUUCUGGUCUGUAACUGACGCUGAGGCGCGAAAGCGUGGGGAGCAAACAGGAUUAGAUACCCUGGUAGUCCACGCCGUAAACGAUAAGUGCUAAGUGUUAGGGGGUUUCCGCCCCCUUAGUGCUGCAGCUAACGCAUUAAGCACUCCGCCUGGGGAUACGGCCGCAAGGCUG